UCCCUGAUGGCUCAGAUGGUAAAGCGCCUGUCUGCAAUGCAGGAGACCUGGGUUCAGUCCCUGAGUUGGGAA
rfam:TPA: Bos taurus chromosome X, whole genome shotgun sequence.